UGACGGCUGACGGCGGUGGGAAGGAAUACUGGUGGCAAGUGGCCGGCCAACAAAAGAAAAUAAAAAAAACUCAAAAAAAUAGGGGACCGUCCCUCUUUUCUUUGAAUUUUCUGAUCACCGACCGAUCAUCGAUGGCCAAGCCAUCGAAGAAGGAAGCUAGAGAGGUGGGGGUCAUGACCCAUCGGUGUGGCACUAUGUGCGAUGGUGCU
rnacentral:lncRNA from 1 species